AUGCGGUGAAUAUGUGACAUUACGCAAAGUUGGGGAUGCAAGCCAUAAGGGUGGUGGUUCCGGCACCCAACAAAUUGUGAUCGAAGGCCCCUUAUGCGAGGAUUAUUACAAGAUCCGGGAGUAUCUCUACUCACAAUUUUAUUUGCUUUAAGUAAAGAUACAUAAUAUCAAACGCCUUCAGAUGAACCGUCAUUUAGUCGUGAUGUUAAUUUCUAGUGAUUUCAUGAAACACACUAAAGUUUAAUUUAAAUAUAGGACAUAUUUUCCGUUGAA